rnacentral:rRNA from 1 species
GUGGGGAAUAUUGGACAAUGGGCGCAAGCCUGAUCCAGCCAUGCCGCGUGAGUGAUGAAGGCCUUAGGGUUGUAAAGCUCUUUCAGUAGGGAAGAUAAUGACGGUACCUACAGAAGAAGCCCCGGCUAACUUCGUGCCAGCAGCCGCGGUAAUACGAAGGGGGCUAGCGUUGUUCGGAUUUACUGGGCGUAAAGCGCACGUAGGCGGAUUGGUCAGUUAGAGGUGAAAUCCCGAAGCUCAACUUCGGAACUGCCUUUAAUACUGCCAGUCUCGAGUCCGGAAGAGGUGAGUGGAACUCCUAGUGUAGAGGUGGAAUUCGUAGAUAUUAGGAAGAACACCAGUGGCGAAGGCGGCUCACUGGUCCGGUACUGACGCUGAGGUGCGAAAGCGUGGGGAGCAAACAGGAUUAGAAACCCUAGUAGUCC